rnacentral:rRNA from 1 species
AGAGUGAACGCUGGCGGCAGGCCUAACACAUGCAAGUCGAACGGCAGCACAGUAAGAGCUUGCUCUUAUGGGUGGCGAGUGGCGGACGGGUGAGGAAUACAUCGGAAUCUGCCUAUUUGUGGGGGAUAACGUAGGGAAACUUACGCUAAUACCGCAUACGACCUACGGGUGAAAGCGGAGGACCUUCGGGCUUCGCGCAGAUAGAUGAGCCGAUGUCGGAUUAGCUAGUUGGUGGGUAAAGGCCCACCAAGGCGACGAUCCGUAGCUGGUCUGAGGGGAUGAUCAGCCACACUGGAACUGAGACACGGUCCAGACUCCGUACGGGAGGCAGCAGGUGGGGAAUAGUUAGGACAAGUGGGACGACGAAGCCUGAUCCAGCCAGUCGCCGCGUGAGUGAAGACGGUCCGUUGGUUAGUAAAGUCGUUACGUUUUUGGUAGGGAAAGAAAAGUCUAAAGUUCGGUUAAACGUUACCCGGUUGUUACGUAGGAACCGUAACC